rfam:Schistosoma curassoni strain Dakar, Senegal genome assembly, scaffold: SCTD_scaffold0003334
AUCCAGCUGAUGAGUUUCAAAUAGGACAAAACACAUUUCCUGGAU